rnacentral:rRNA from 1 species
UAAAGCGCACGUAGGCGGCUUUGUAAGUAAGAGGUGAAAGCCCAGAGCUCAACUCUGGAAUUGCCUUUUAGACUGCAUCGCUUGAAUCAUGGAGAGGUCAGUGGAAUUCCGAGUGUAGAGGUGAAAUUCGUAGAUAUUCGGAAGAACACCAGUGGCGAAGGCGGCUGACUGGACAUGUAUUGACGCUGAGGUGCGAAAGCGUGGGGAGCAAACAGGAUUAGAUACCGAGU